rnacentral:misc_RNA from 1 species
UUUCAGGUUUGAGGGACGCCGUGGGGAAGGAUUCAGUGGAUGGUCGGGGAACUCUUGACAAAACAGGUGGUGUGUGUAGAUGCUGACUGCUUUGUCUCUUUACCCUGCUGAAGGAAGGAGGGAGGAGCAGUCUUGUUCAUGGAAAGACUAUGGAGUGUCUGAGUACCCUGCAGGAUGUCUUGAUUUUGAUCCCAAGCCAGUUUUUAGGAUUUUCUUGGUUCAUUCUCGUUCGAUGCCCAGCCCGCUUAAGGCACAAGCUGGUGCAGCUCAGGGUUAGUCCCAACCUUGGGUGAAUGGGCAGAGGUGCCUGUGGAAAGACAUCCACUGUAAAAACCUACCAUUGUCAAGCAAGAAAGAAAAGAAUGUGGUACUUGUUCCUGUAAAGACUUGGGUGACAUCUCAUUGCCUCUGUGAUUGCCUGCACACAGUUCUCAACACCAGUAGACUUGGAUGUAGGAAAACCCUUUCCCUCACCAUUUUGGAAGGAGACAUUUACUGCUUACCUGGUUUGGAGGUUAUCAAGUUGAGGGAUCACAAGAAGUUUGUGGUGCUGUGAAUAAGUCAGGCUUGUGAACUGAGGUUUGAGGGACGUCGUGGGGAAGGAUACAGUGGAUGGCUGGGGAACUCUUGCCAAAACAGGUGAGGGCUGAAGGAAGGAGGGAGGAGCAGUCUUGUUCAUGGAAAGACUGUGGAGUGUCUGAGUACCCUGCAGGAUGUCUUGAUUUUGAUCCCAAGCCAGUUUUUAUAAUUUUCUUGGUUCGUUCUCGUUCAAUGCCCUGCCCGCUUAGGGCACAAGCUGGUGCAGCUCAGGGUUAGUCCCAACCUUGGGUGAAUGGGCAGAGGUGCCCAUGGAAAGACAUCCACUGUAAAAACCUACCAUUGUCAAGCAAGAAAGAAAAGAAUGUGGUACUUGUUCCUGUAAAGACUUGGGUGACAUCUCAUUGCCUCUGUGGUUGCCUGCACACAGUUCUCAACACCAGUAGACUUGGAUGUAGGAAAACCCUUUCCCUCACCAUUUUGGAAGGAGACAUUUACUGCUUACCUGGUUUGGAGAAGGUUAUCAAGUUGAGGAAUCACAAGAAGGUUGUGGUGCUGUGAAUAAGUCAGGCUUGUGAACUGAGGUUUGAGGAACGCCGUGGGGAAGGAUUCAGUGGAUGGCCGGGGAACUCUUGCCAAAACAGGGCUGAAGGAAGGAGGAAGGUGGUGUCUUGUUCAUGGAAAGACUAUGGAGUGUCGGAGAACCCUGCAGGAUGUCUUGAUUUUGAUCCCAAGCCAGUUUUUAUGAUUUUCUUGGUUCAUUCUCGUUCGAUGCCCAGCCCGCUUAAGGCACAAGCUGGUGCAGCUCAGGGUUAGUCCCAACCUUGGGUGAAUGGGCAGAGGUGCCUCUGGAAAGACAUCCACUGUAAAAACCUACCAUUGUCAAGCAAGAAAGAAAAGAAUGUGGUACUUGUUCCUGUAAAGACUUGGGUAACAUCUCAUUGCCUCUGUGAUUGCCUGCACACAGUUCUCAACACCAGUAGACUUGGAUGUAGGAAAACCCUUUCCCUCACCAUUUUGGAAGGAGACAUUUACUGCUUACCUGGUUUGGAGGUUAUCAAGUUGAGGAAUCACAAGAAGUUUUUGGUGCUGUGAAUAAGUCAGGCUUGUGAACUGAGGUUUGAGGGAUGCUGUGGGGAAGGAUUCAGUGGAUGGCCGGGGAACUCUUGACAAAACAGGGCUGAAGGAAGGAGGGAGGAGUAGUCUUGUUCGUGGAAAGACUAUGAAGUGUCUCAGUACCCUGCAGGAUUUUGUUGGUUCCUUCUUGCUGGAUGUCCAGCCCACACAGGGCACAAACUAGUGCAGCUCAGGGUUAGUCCUAACCCUGGGUAAAUAGGCAGUGGUGCCUCAGGAAAGAUAUCCACAGUAUAAAUCUAUCAGGACAAGCAUGAAAGAAAAGAAUGAGGCAGUGAGGAAUGUGGUACUUGUUUCUGUGAAGACUUGGUAAAUGUAAAUAUUAACAGAGUGAACUAUAUACCAUCUUUUGAUACAUCAGUGUAUUAUAGUAAUAAGGGCAAAUGACAUCUGAUUCAUGAUUACAUUUUGGAUCUUUUUAGCAGUGUUACUGUAGAUCCUGUAUGGAUGGAAACAUACUGGUAUAUACUGAAUGAAGUCCUCAUUUACUUUUUGCCCUAUAAUGUAGUUAGCUCUUCUGAAAAACAGUAAGCAGAAAUUAAUAGGAAUGGAUACCUUUAUCUGCAAACCUAGACAGUCUUGUUAUCUGAUGAUAGCUGAUAAGGACAAAUAGCUGAUUGAUAUUACCUUUGGAAUUUGUCGUGUAUUUAAGGAACUUUUAUAUACAGUACUGUGUUCUAAGAGAAAUAAAAGUGGGAGUAAAA